GUAACUUAUUUUUAAGAUUUGGGAGAUUUGUUCAAAAAAGAAUCUGAGGACCUAUAUGUAAACCCUGAGGACCUAAUCGUGAAUAUAAUAAAAAUAAGGACUAAACUGCAAAAUGCACAAAAUAACAAAUCCCACCGCUUAAGCCUCUCUGCCUUCGUUCUUAAGGAACCAGAGAAGGCAGCUGCUGUGUGGAAGAACAGAUAAAGAAAGAAAGAAGAAGAGAAAAACAAAGGGGAAGAAGAAGAAGAAAAAUUGAGGCUUUGAGGUUUCUUACUCAAUCUUCUCAAUUGGGGGUCAAAAUUCUCAAAGGCAAGUGUUCUAACCCUAUCCUACAGAAAUAUUAGUCUCUGUUCUUAUGUUGAUUCAAAAUAAUAUGAAGGAUUUCUAUUUAGAAACUGAUAUGUCUCUCUUUGAACAUAGAACCAUGGAUUCUGAAAUUUUUCGGUAAACUGACCCCUAUAUACGGUUCCAGCUAUAAUUUUUAGUACGAAAUGUAGAUUUGAGCAGGCCUAGUUUGUUUGAAAUUAGACUCUUAUAUCUUUCUUUUGAUACAAAUUUUGAAGAUUUUGAAUACCGAAUACUUACCCAAACGUCUGUUUCAAACGAGCCAAUAGAUGCUGCAAAACAGGGAUCAAAAUUUCUGACCUUUCGGUACUAAAAUACCUAUAAGUUCCUGUGGGAAAUUCUGAUUUGUACAAAACUGACUUCAUUCGAAACUAGACUUGUAAACCUUUCUUUUGACAUAUAGAGUGAUAAAUUUGGAAUUCAUAUGCCUAUCCUGUUAUCUGUUGAACCCGACCUUAUGAAUUCUACAGAACAGUGAUUUUGUUUUGACCUUUGAUUACAAAAUCCAUGGUAACUCCGUGUUGGAAACCCUGUUUCAUAUGAAAUUUGUUCCAUCAGAAUAUAGAUUGACAUAUUGUUCGACCAUAGCUUUCUUGAGGGUAUUGGAGCAUAAUUGACAAUCUGAAAUAAUUGUUCAAUGUGCCUUUUGAUUUCUGCCAGAAAUCGAACUUGGAUCGAUUUCGCAUCUCUUGUUUUCAUUCGCUUGGGAAUAUAUUUCAUUCAGUUUCCAUCACUCAAUUGAGGCUUAUAUUAAUGCUUGAAUUCUCAUUUGCUCUUGUCUAUAAACUAUUUCCAUUCUUGAACAUAUUAUGUAACUUUUAUGUUAUAUCACACUGACUCGUAAAGGCACAUGUACGUUUUGUUGUUCCGCGUGUGCUUCCGAUAUGUGCUAUUUAUUGUUCAUACUGCCUUUUGUACUCUGGUAUUUGUGGGAUUAUCUGGACCUUUGCCAGAAAUGGUAAAGGGUAUGUGCAUAGAGCCUGAGAUGCUCUGUCGGCCCCCCUUUGACUUCACCUAGACGUGGGUGGAUGGAGCUCCCAGACGUGGGAGACUUCUGUCUGGUGGUCAUUCAGAAAUGGAUGAUUCACAUUCUGUCUACGAUCCCACUGCACCUUCUUUAUGUUUGAUAUGAUAUCCAGAGCUUUGGUUAUAUGUUUCUGUACAUGCUUUGGAUAAGAAUUAUAUGAAUGCAAUGUCAAAUACGACGUUUGAGCUUCUGUUUGGUAUUUGCUAUUGAUAUGCUCCGAAAUGUUCCAUACGCCGUUGAUAUGCUUUGGAACAUUUUAUACGCCACUGAUAAGCUCCGAAACGUUUCAUUUGUUGUUGUUAUACUCUGAAACGUUUCAUUCGUUGUUGAUAUACUCCGAAAGAUUUCAUCUGUUAUUGGCAUGCUCCGAAAUGUUCCAUAUGCCGUUGAUAUGCUCCGGAACAUUUUAUACUCUAUUGAUAUGCUCCAAUUACUCUAUGAUCUGUCUGUUAAGAACCAAAAAUGUCGAUUGAAAUGAUAUGUGUGAUUCUACACCUAAUGAGAUUAGGUUUAUGGAUUCUUAUAUUCUGCCUUUCAUUAUGAAACCUUAUUUGUUUGGAAAUUUCCCUCUUUUACCAUGGAUAUGUUAGUCACUUGCUGAGCUCUAUAUGCUCACCUCGUUGUUGUAUAAAUUUUUCAGGAUAGCCUGUCGCUCGCUUAAAUGAUUAAGAUUGGGCUGAGGCAGUGGAGAGCUAAAAGACUUUGGGCAGAUCUUUAAUAGUAUAUAUAUUUUUGUUGUAUAAGUACACUCUGCAUCUAAUGAAAUGUUGACGAUGAAUCUAACCUUGUGGAUUUUGUAUAAGUUUAAAAGACUCCUUUUGAUGUCUAGGAUUUUGGAAUGUUAAGUUAAAUUCGUGUAAUGAUAUGAACUUAUGGUAAAUGUUGGUUUUGUGAUUGUAUAGACUCCCAUACUGGUGAAUUUAUGUCGUAGUUAUUAUUUUGGUGAGUUGGGUUCAGAUUUUAUGAAUCAUCGAAUGAUAUGUUGUAUGUUUAUGAACUGCAUAGGGUUUAUAAAUUUGUAGAUUAUAGAGGUGAAAUUUUGAUCUGAAUGUUUUCUUAGUGACCUCAAAUGUGUGAUUGGAUCCUGGAUGGAUUGGUUUUUGAUGAAAAUUUUAAAAUCAUGGAUAUUUUUUUGAGGGACGUGACAGAAUGGGUGGGGUAUUUCUAGGCCCCAAACCAGUUCAAAUUUGGAGCUCAAAACUGUCAAUUCCCGAAAUUUCGGGAUCAGGUGGUUGCACCUCCUGACUGGAGCGGUUGCACUGCUUAGUAGAGCUCGAAGACUGAGCCUCUGGGCGGUGCCACCUUUGUCAGGGGCGGUUGCACGUCUCUGCUAGAGCUCGAAGACCGAGCUCAGGCGAUUGCACCUCCUGACUGGGGCGGUUGCACUGCCUGCUAGAGCUCGAAGACUAAGCUCAAGCGGUGCUAACUCCUGUCAGGGGAGGUUGCACCGCCAAGUCUCGCUCGGAGACUGAGCCCAAGCGGUGCUACCUCCUGGCUGGGGCGGUUGCACCGCCCAGUCUCACUCGGAGACAUAGCCUAGGCGGUGCUACCUCCUGGCUUGGGCGGUUGCACCUCCCACAGCAAUCAGGGUCCGAAUAGGUAGAUCCAUUCGGCGCAAUUUGGGUUUUUCAGGGGCCCAAUUGCCCCAAGAUUAAGCUAAUGGGAUCACCUCUCAUUUCCAACUUAAUCAUUGUGCUAACUACGAUAAAUCCUAAGACAAUUUCUGCAGCUUGCUCCGGUGCGUCAAUCGCUUCUUCCAACGAGUUUCCGGCGAACUUCCGUUGAUCAUCCGAUGAACCCUCGGUGAUGCUCCUGCGGACUUUCGGCAAACUCCUGGACUUGUGACGAUAUACUUGGUGAGUUCCGACGAGCUUCUUUUGCAAGCUUAUGGACUUCUCGGAUUUGUUCCCGCAGAACCCCGACGACUGUCCGAACUUCCGUCGAACUCUCGAACUCCCAAUGUGAUCAUUGUCUUGACUCCAGCGCAACUCCUACUGCAUGUCUUACUUUCAUCGUAGUUAAUCCUGCACAUGUAAACAAAACUUCAAUCUGUAAUAUCCCUCACUUUUGAAAAUUAUUAAUAAAGAUUUAUUUAUAAAUCGGGGGACCUAUAUGUAAAUAUGAAAAUUUCAAGGACUAAAUUGCUAAGUUAUAAAAUGAAAAGAAAAUAAAGAAAACCAAAAAUUUCGGUUUUAUCCCACCGCCUCCCACGCUCUCUCUGUUUCUUCGAGAAACAGAGAAAAGCGGUGGGGCGUGGGGAGAAGAAGAGAAGUAGUGGGAGAAGAGAAGAAGAGGGAAAAGAGAGGGAAGAGGGAGAGGAGCGAGAGGUGGCAGCAGCUAGGGCUGCAGCACCUCUGUUUCCUGCAGGUGGAAACAGAGGAGAGGUGUGGGGCAUUCGAAGAGGAGAAGAAGAAGAAGAGGAAGAGAAGAAGAAGAUGAAGCAGGA
rnacentral:lncRNA from 1 species